CCUUAUUUUGAGAACUUUGAAAGUGGUUGACUUUUAAAAUAGCCUUGCGGUCACAAAGACCUUUUCGCCUUCAAAUUUCAGUUAUUUGUAAAAUCAGAGGCGUACAAUCUAAAAGGUAGAACUGGAGAAAAUGGACGGGAAACGAAGCGAGAGAAAAAUCGAAUCCACUUGGAAUUUGUCAUCUAAGAAAUCACAGUCAAGUAAAGUAAAGGAAAAAAUCAUUCGGGAAGAAUCUAAGAAAUUCGAAGGAUACAAGCUGUUCAACGAAGCCUUGGAUGCACAUGUCAAGAAGACCUCCGCUAGGAGUACAUAAUCUAAUAUAGACUGCCUGUUAUUUAAAAAUUUUUAUUCACUUCUGCACCAAACGUUAAACUAAAGAUUAGAAAAGAAAAAAAGUAUUUUUUUAAUCCUUGGUACAUAGAGUAAAACACUUAUAAAAUAGCUUGCACAUUUUUAUCGUUACAAUCCUUUUUCCGAGUGAGAAAUGUAAAAUGGACAUUUGACUUUUUUAGUAUAUGUUUUAUAUACCACUGGAUUUAUAGAAUUUUAUGCUAUCCUUAACAUACAGGAGAAACCAUAGAGAGGCAAGUUCGUCACUUCUUUUAAUUAUACUGUUGCCACAAAGCUGGUCUUUCGCUUAACUGCCAAGGCGGAAACAAUGCAAUGAUGCUUUGUUUAUGACUACCAACUAAACUAACAAGCUAACUGGGAGCUGGUCAUUUUGUUGAUUCGUAUUUACAUCAUAGGUUCAAGU